GACGAACGCUGGCGGCGUGCUUAACACAUGCAAGUCGAACGGAAAGGCCCUGCUUUUGUGGGGUGCUCGAGUGGCGAACGGGUGAGUAACACGUGAGUAACCUGCCCUUGACUUUGGGAUAACUUCAGGAAACUGGGGCUAAUACCGGAUAGGAGCUCCUGCUGCAUGGUGGGGGUUGGAAAGUUUCGGCGGUUGGGGAUGGACUGGCGGCUUAUCAGCUUGUUGGUGGGGUAGUGGCUUACCAAGGCUUUGACGGGUAGCCGGCCUGAGAGGGUGACCGGCCACAUGGGAACUGGGAGACGGCCCAGCCUCCAAGGGAGGGCAGCAUUGGGAAUAUUGCACAAUGGGCGGAAGCCUGAUGCAGCAACGCCGCGUGCGGGAUGACGGCCUUCGGGUUGUAAACCGCUUUCGCCUGUGACGAAGCGUGAGUGACGGUAAUGGGUAAAGAAGCACCGGCUAACUACGUG
rnacentral:rRNA from 1 species